CGUAAAUGUCAGCUUAGCCAAUAUACACACUCAAAACACCUGUUUAAUUUUCAGUACUUUUUUAAUAUAAUUGAUUGCUACCGUUAUAACUACGUUAGAUUUCACAAAUCUACGAAAGCGGUUACUGAACAGAAAAAACUACUUCAAAAUUUAACUAAGCCGGUAAAUUAAAUAAAAUCAUAUUUUUAUUAACCCUUGUAAACCUCAAAAUUACCUUAUAUAUCCAACCGAUUAAUCUAAUUUUACUUAUAUUUCAAAAUACGCGGAUUGUUGAUCACCAACGUGAACGCGCAAGGGGGGCAGAAUUACUUCCGGUAAAACCCCUAUUACGGUUUCCAUAACCUCCUCCACGACGGAAACCACCACGACCAUAGCCGCCACGGCGGUAGUUACCACCACGACCACCGCUUGAAUAGCGGGCCAUUUCCUCAAGCUUAGGAUCAAUGUCCUGCUUGGCUUCAGAGAGAAUGGAAACAAGUUCACGAGCUUGCUUAGCAUUAUCCGAAGUGAAAUAGGUAUAUGCGGUACCUUUAGCUCCAGCACGACCAGUACGUCCAAUUCUAUGAACGUAGUCUUCCGUAUUUCCAGGGAAAUCAUAGUUAAAGACAUGUGUAAUACCCUUAACAUCUAUAAAAAGUUAGUAAUGCCCAAGAGGGUUUUGACUUUAAGCUUCGAGAUAUAUGUUUCAUGGAUUUAUCCAAUAUAUCAACAACUUUAAGCUUCUUUAAAUUUGACAAGUUAGGUCAACAACACUGCAUAAACAUUUUAGCAAUGGUACCGAACAGCAAUAAGUUCACAAUGAAAGAAAGACAAAAGACAAAAGAAAGUAAAGAAAAGGAGGAAACAGUACAGAAAAACUAUGUUUUAAAUCAUUUAAUGUGGUCUAAAAGUAAACAAUGAGUCAAGUUGGUUUGAAGGCUGAAUAGAAUAAGCGUUUAAAAACCUUUUAAAUUGACCGCAAAUCAAAUGGUUACAUAGAUCGCGGAAACGUUGACAACAAAUUUAACAGGUAGCAGACCACACGUAUCUCGACUACUAUUGAAAAGGCCAAGAUCAUGAAAUAGAAAUCAUCAGUUUCUCUUUGUAACACCAUUCGUGCCUGUAAGAAACAGGCUAAACAAUCAUCCGAAUUUUCUACUUUCCUUAAGACUGGGCGUAAACAAAAAUAUUCAUCAAAGCAACACAAACUUGCAAAAUUCAAGCUAAAAUGGUGUUGAUCGCCAGUCCAUCUUUUAUUAUCAAAAGAGACAUUGAGAACGCCGGUGAAAGUAUAACGUCAAAUAAAAAAGCCUGCGAAAAGGAAAAAACUGUUAAAUAAAAACUUACCUAUUCCUCUAGAAGCAACAUCAGUAGCAACCAUAAUCGGAGACUUGCCAGUACGGAACUCAUUGAGUACCCAGUCACGCUCGUCUUGAGCUUUAUCACCAUGAAUGGCAAGGGCAGGCCAACCAUCUUGCCUAAGGAAGCGAGUAAUGUCAUCAGCAACACGUUUUGUGCCUGUAAAAAUAAGAACUUUGUUAUCCCUAUCCUU